GUCAGUACCUUCAGUGUGUCGCACAGACUUGCUGAUAGGGGACAAAACAAAAGCCACGGAAACAAAAGCAGCUCAACAUCUUGUUCUGGUGAAAUGAGAACUCUCUCCCCAGUGUCUGUACGCUUCGUUUAAUGGACCAUGGGAGACUCAGGAUUCACCAGUGUCUCAGGAAGCUGCAGCAGGCAAUGGCAGAUGGCAGCAGGAACACGAGGUGAACAUGUAAACAUCUGGACGAGUAGUUAUGAAGAUUAAUGUUAUGCACAGGGUCAGAAUUCCCACUGACAUUUGCUCAGUUUGCCCAAGCAAGUUAGUGGAAACCUCCUGUGAAUAUGAACUGCACUCUGCAGCGCUGCGCAGGCAUUUAACAUCUUGGAUGCCAGUUUCCUCACAGGCACAUCUGAUCUGACGGAACAGCUGUGCCCUGGAAACAUCUUACUGCACAAAAAUCAAAAGGAAAUUGGAGAUUGGCUUUGUUAAGGACAUCUCUUGUUCUGUGGCGCUGUCACACAAUCAUUGCACGGAAGUGUCUACAGGUGGUAAUGAGGAGGAAUCAAAGCUUCAGAGGGAGCUGCAGGAACAGCUGGACCUCCUAAGAGCUGCAAAAGAAGAUUCCCCAGCUAAAACAUGUCCACGGAGAGCCAUAUGUGCAUAGCUGUUAGGAUUUUGGAAUCGGUGUGGUGGAAUGACAGGGAGUUGAUGGGUAAAUAUUAAUUGAGAGACCAACCCCCGCCAAGAAAUUCUUUGUGAUCGUGUUGCCUUAUCUUCAUGCAAAAUAUUUACCAAGUCAAAUACUGCCAUUUAAUUUACCAUAACUUUGUAGUCAUUGCACAACGACUUGAAGAGAAGGCCCAGCAUCCUGGCAGCCUCCUGGUGUGCUCUUGUGCUGUUCCAGGGGCAGUGAGACUGUCAGCAUGGCACCAUGUGCUGAGAAGCUGCUUUCCAUUCUACGUGCAGCGUCACAGGGCUGUGCUGAGCCAUGUGCCAAGCUGACACUUUGUCCUGGCCAGCUUUGGGCCAGGGGAUGGAAGGGUAAGCUGAGCUGCUGGGUCUCUGUCAUCUGUCUGAAGGGCUUGCAGAGAUCUAGUGAAUGGAGCACAGUGUUUGGGUUUUCUUUCCAGAGCUGGCAAUGUACAGGUGUAAGGUUGGUAGCAUGGAGAAGGCCAUACAAAGAAUAUAAAAAAGAGGGGAAGUUCAUUUUUACAAUAUUUCUGCACCUCCCAAAACAUU